rnacentral:rRNA from 1 species
AUUGAACGCUGGCGGAAUGCUUUACACAUGCAAGUCGAACGGCAGCACGGGGGCAACCCUGGUGGCGAGUGGCGAACGGGUGAGUAAUACAUCGGAACGUGCCCAGUCGUGGGGGAUAACUACGCGAAAGCGUAGCUAAUACCGCAUACGAACUCUGGUUGAAAGCGGGGGAUCGCAAGACCUCGCGCGAUUGGAGCGGCCGAUGGCAGAUUAGGUAGUUGGUGGGGUAAAGGCUCACCAAGCCGACGAUCUGUAGCUGGUCUGAGAGGACGACCAGCCACACUGGGACUGAGACACGGCCCAGACUCCUACGGGAGGCAGCAGUGGGGAAUUUUGGACAAUGGGCGCAAGCCUGAUCCAGCCAUUCCGCGUGCAGGAUGAAGGCCCUCGGGUUGUAAACUGCUUUUGUACGGAACGAAACGGUCCUGGUUAAUACCCGGGGCUAAUGACGGUACCGUAAGAAUAAGCACCGGCUAACUACGUGCCAGCAGCCGCGGUAAUACGUAGGGUGCAAGCGUUAAUCGGAAUUACUGGGCGUAAAGCGUGCGCAGGCGGUGAUGUAAGACGGAUGUGAAAUCCCCGGGCUCAACCUGGGAACUGCAUUCGUGACUGCAUCGCUGGAGUGCGGCAG